AUUGAACGCUGGCGGCAGGCCUAACACAUGCAAGUCGAGCGGGGUUUUCGGACCUAGCGGCGGACGGGUGAGUAAUGCGUAGGAAGCUACCCGAUAGAGGGGGAUACCAGUUGGAAACGACUGUUAAUACCGCAUAAUGUCUACGGACCAAAGUGUGGGACCUUCGGGCCACAUGCUAUCGGAUGCGCCUACGUGGGAUUAGCUAGUUGGUGGGGUAAUGGCUCACCAAGGCGACGAUCCCUAGCUGGUUUGAGAGGAUGAUCAGCCACACUGGAACUGAGACACGGUCCAGACUCCUACGGGAGGCAGCAGUGGGGAAUAUUGGACAAUGGGCGAAAGCCUGAUCCAGCCAUGCCGCGUGUGUGAAGAAGGUCUUCGGAUUGUAAAGCACUUUAAAGUUGGGAGGAAGGGCAGUAAGUUAAUACCUUGCUGUUUUGACGUUACCAACAGAAUAAGCACCGGCUAACUUCGUGCCAGCAGCCGCGGUAAU
rnacentral:rRNA from 1 species